CAGGACGGUUUGCCGCUACCGGCUAUGGCCGUUAGAGGAAAGUCCGGGCAACAUAGGGCAUUCCGCUUCUUAACGGGAAGUGGCUCGCAAGGGUCAGAGCAUGUAGAAGAAAACAACCGCCCCUUUUCAUAAAGAGGCAAGGGUGAGAAGGUGGGGUAAGAGCCCACCGGGCGGAUGGUGACAUCCGUGCCGUACAUUCCGGAAGUUGAAAGUUCGCGUAUACCGGCGACACAAGAGAGGGCGGCCCGUCCGAGCCGGAGGGUAGAACGAUGGAGUCUUGCGGUGACGUAAGGCCGAGAUAAAUGGCAAACAUUCCGCCUCGUGCGGAAUACAGAACCCGGCUUAUAGUCCGGCUGCU
rnacentral:RNase_P_RNA from 1 species